GGGGGUACCUCUGAGGGGGUGUGGAGGUCCACAGCCAGCUGGAGGUCGGUGAUGAGCUCUAAGGAGGUUCUGUAGGGGGGGUUCUUCAGGUGACAGAGCCGCUUCUGGACCAGAGCCAGAGCCUGAAGAACACAACACCUUUACCCUCAGCCCCACCGCCCCGUGGUCACACACUACCGGCGCUCGGCAGCCAUGGAUCUCGUCUAAUUAGGAUGAUCCAUUAAGCACUUUAUCAAGUACCAAUAAUCAUUAUUUUGCUUAGUGUUGCAGUUAACGGAUCAUUAUAAAACAAAUGGUUUAAGUUUUCUUGGCUGCUGGUCAGAUAAAGAAUGUCCAUCAAAGACCUGACUGUUGGAAUACCUCUGUGGGGUCUCCCAGCUGGCACAGCAGGGACAGCAGCACGCACUCACACUUCUGUUGGGAGAGGAGCAACGUCAGCCUCACGUCUACACGACGUCGGCCUCACGUCUACACAACGCCGGCCUCACGUCUACACAACGUCGGCCUCACGUCUACACAACGCCGGCCUCACGUCUACACAACGUCGGCCUCACGUCUACACAACGCCGGCCUCACGUCUACACAACGUCGGCCUCACGUCUACACAACGCCGGCCUCACGUCUACACAACGUCGGCCUCACGUCUACACAACGCCGGCCUCACGUCUACACCGCGUCAGCCUCACGUCUACACCGCGUCAGCCUCACGUCUACAUCAGAGGACCAGAGCUGGUGUGUGUUCUAGGUACAGAGUGUGUGUUCUAGGUCCAGAGUGUGUGUUCUAGGUCCAGAGUGUGUGUUCUAGGUUCUGGUGUGUGGUUCUAGGUUCUGGUGUGUGGUUCUAGGUUCUGGUGUGUGGUUCUAGGUUCUGGUGUGUGGUUCUAGGUUCUGGUGUGUGUUCUAGGUCCAGAGUGUGUUCUAGGUUCUGGUGUGUGGUUCUAGGUUCUGGUGUGAGGUUCUAGGUUCUGGUGUGUGUUCUCGGUCCAGAGUGUGUGUUCUAGGUUCUGGUGUGUGGUUCUAGGUUCUGGUGUGUGGUUCUAGGUUCUGGUGUGUGUUCUAAGUCCAGAGUGUGUGGUUCUAGGUUCUGGUGUGUUUUCUAGUUUCUGGUGUGUGUUCUAGGUUCUGGUGUGUGGUUCUAGGUCCAGAGUGUGGUUCUAGGUUCUGGUGUGUGGUUCUAGGUUCAGAGUGUGGUUCUAGGUUCUGGUGUGUGGUUCUAGGUCCAGAGUGUGUGUUCUAGGUACUGGUGUGUGGUUCUAGGUUCUGGUGUGUGUUCUAGGUUCUGGUGUGUGUUCUAGAUUCUGGUGUGUGUUCUAGGUUCUGGUGUGUGUUCUAGGUUCUGGUGUGUGGUUCUAGGUCCAGAGUGUGGUUCUAGGUUCUGGUGUGUGGUUCUAGGUCCAGAGUGUGUGUUCUAGGUUCUGGUGUGUGGUUCUAGGUUCUGGUGUGUGGUUCUAGGUUCUGGUGUGUGGUUCUAG
ensembl:lncRNA